rnacentral:rRNA from 1 species
CCCUUAGAUGUUCUGGGCUGCACGCGCGCUACACUGAUGCACUCAACGAGUUUACGACCUUGCCCGAUAGGGUUGGGUAAUCUUUUUAAAAUGCAUCGUGAUGGGGAUAGAUUAUUGCAAUUAUUAAUCUUCAACGAGGAAUUCCUAGUAAGCGCGAGUCAUCAGCUCGUGCUGAUUACGUCCCUGCCCUUUGUACACACCGCCCGUCGCUCCUACCGAUUGAGUGCUCAGGUGAAUAAUUCGGACUGCAGCAAUGUUUGGAGCCCGAACGUUGCAGCGGAAAGUUUAGUGAACCUUAUCACUUAGAGGAAGGAGAAGUCGUAACA